rnacentral:rRNA from 1 species
AUUGAACGCUGGCGGCAGGCUUAACACAUGCAAGUCGAGCGGGGUGAUGGUGCUUGCACUAUCACUUAGCGGCGGACGGGUGAGUAAUGCUUAGGAAUCUGCCUAUUAGUGGGGGACAACAUCUCGAAAGGGAUGCUAAUACCGCAUACGUCCUACGGGAGAGAGCAGGGGAUCACUUGUGACCUUGCGCUAAUAGAUGAGCCUAAGUCGGAUUAGCUAGUUGGUGGGGUAAAGGCCUACCAAGGCGACGAUCUGUAGCGGGUCUGAGGGGAUGAUCCGCCACACUGGGACUGAGACACGGCCCAGACUCCUACGGGAGGCAGCAGUGGGGAAUAUUGGACAAUGGGGGGAACCCUGAUCCAGCCAUGCCGCGUGUGUGAAGAAGGCCUUAUGGUUGUAAAGCACUUUAAGCGAGGAGGAGGCUCUUUUGGUUAAUACCCAAGAAGAGUGGACGUUACUCGCAGAAUAAGCACCGGCUAACUCUGUGCCAGCAGCCGCCGUAA